rnacentral:rRNA from 1 species
CUAACACAUGCAAGUCGAGCGGCAGCACAGAGGAACUUGUUCCUUGGGUGGCGAGCGGCGGACGGGUGAGUAAUGCCUGGGAAAUUGCCCGGUAGAGGGGGAUAACCAUUGGAAACGAUGGCUAAUACCGCAUAACCUCGCAAGAGCAAAGCAGGGGACCUUCGGGCCUUGCGCUACCGGAUAUGCCCAGGUGGGAUUAGCUAGUUGGUGAGGUAAGGGCUCACCAAGGCGACGAUCCCUAGCUGGUCUGAGAGGAUGAUCAG